UCUCUCCUCAAUGCAGUUUUAACGAUUCCACUCGCUAAACUCCCUCCCAACCUUCUGGGCUCCUAGAGCAGGGGACCGAGCCUGAGCCGAGACACGUACACUGCAACUUUACUCCAGGCCAAGCUGCAUGAUCCUGAUUAAUAUGACAUGGGCCAGCCGAGGGUGUUCAUUGCGCUGGAGACGUAGCCUAAUGUCAUGUCUACACUGCGAUUAAAACACCCAGGGCACCUGUCUCAAAGCCCAGGUCAGCUGACUCAGGCUUAUGGGGCUUGGACUACAAGCCUAUAAAAUUACAGUGCAGACAUACGGGCUUGAGCCCAACCUCUGAGACCCCACGAGGGGUGAGGGUUUCUAAACCCAGGCUUCAGUGUGAACACAAAUAUCUGCACCACAGUUUUUAGCCCUUCAACUUUAGCUCCAUGAGCCCAU